CCGCGCCCGGCCUCUUUCUUACAAACACAUAAUCAUCCUCCUUAGGUGAGAAUCUUGGCGGUUUCUGAGAUAGGUGAUUUCAGGGCCUUCUCUCCUUCCUUGUUUGCUACUUCCACUACCAACUUGAGACUCAUCUUUGAUUCUUCAACUAAGCUUAAGGGCAGAAAUGGUGUGAAGUGCUUGAGAUCAUUAAUAAGUUGGAGGUGGAGGAGCGUGUGUGGUCACCUGGUGCUAUGCUGGGCACCAACCCACAACCUGCCCCCACUGACUUAUUUCCUCUUGAGAGACACGGAGCCAACACAGCACCCCGACCUGAACAAACCACGUCAGAAAAGAGAUCCAUGGACAUCCCUUGCUACACAGAUGGCUGGCAGCUUCCUAUACCUCGCCCAGGCUGAUCCUGCCUCAGACAAAAUCAUGGAAGCAGAUGAAGAUGAGUCUAUCAGCUGCUUUUGUGCCAGAGGAUACUGAGUCACAGGGUUUGGUUCAGUGUGACGUGCCUGCUGGGCUCAACUGCGGUGAAAACCAGACCUAACUCAAAGGGCUGAGCCAGCUGCAACUCUCCCAACUGCUGUUUACCACAGACACAGAUGAGGAAUGUCCUUGUUCUCUGAGAAGAGGCUGGCUGAGAGGCAAUCCAUGUGGAGUGGCAACACCGGGGUCAGAUGGCAGGCCAGGCCUGCAGAUAUCAACACACAGCCUCCACCACUGGCUGCCGGUGCAACCCAAGCAGUGGGCAGGGCUCCACCUGCACCCACUGCUGUCCACAGAUCCAUUGGGAAAAAGAAUCAUUUUGAGCCAAUAUCAACGUACUCUUCUGGGAACUUUUACUAUUCAUUCCUUUUGCUAUUUUUAGGGGAAGCAUGCCUGUUAAAAAUAAGUGUUUUCUCUCCAAAAUUCCUCCAUAUUUUCAUAUUAUGAGUGCCCUGUAACAUUUGCAGAGAUAAGCAAGGAGGGAAGGGGGCAAGGAAAAUGCAGCUAUCUUCUUAGAGAUUUUCUGUUUCAAAAGAGCUAAAGCACAUGCAUGGAAGAUUCAUUUGCAUUUCAAUAAACAUUUUCUCUCUGGA
rnacentral:lncRNA from 10 species